rnacentral:lncRNA from 1 species
ACUGAUCCUGCUUACUGGCCCAUAGACCGUCUGCAAAGCCCUCUGAUUUGUUUGGUUAAAAUGGACAACUCUGCCAGUGCAAAGUACAAAGUGACGGUACGUCAGCCUCUGUCAGGAAAAGGUCCAAGGUCUCUCCCUUUGUGGUUGUUUCUCCCCUGACACCAUCAGUGGAGUCAAAUGGAGCGUGUACAGCCCAAAGGAAUGUGCCUGGGUAACUAAAGACAGAAUCUCCGGUUGCCAGUUCCUUUCUGAAGCCAGUCAAUGGAAAAGGUGAUUUUAUUGUUCAGUUGUUUCCCACUCAUCGUGACCCCAUUUGGAGUUUUCUUGGCAGAAAUACUGGAGCGGUUGGCCAUUCUCUUCUCCAGCUCAUUUUACAGAUAAGAAAACUGAGGCAAACAGGGUUAAAUGACUUGCCCAGGCUCAUGUACCUAGAAAAUCUCCAAGCCUAAAUUUGAACUUCUGAGGAUGUCUUCUUGAUUUCAAGCCUCUCUCUCUCCAUUGCCCUACCUACCUACUUUACCAAGAAGUACCUUGGAGAGACUAAAGCAUACACCAGCAUUCUGUAAUUGGUUAUGGUCUCAUCAGUGUCUCCAAAGUACUUCCAGUCUGUAUCAUGAUGACCUGACUACCCAAGAAGCAGAAUCUCCCACAUCUCUCAGCAGAGAUUCUCUGCUCCUGUAAUAGAUCUUGUUACACUUACUCCUAGUGAGAUAGGUGCUAUAAUUAUCCCCAUUUUACAGAGGAGAAGACCGAGGUUGAGACUACUUGCUCAGCUUUAUCCAGUGAAUAAGUGAUUGAUUUGAACUCAAGAUUUUCUGAUUCCAAGUCUAUUUUUUAGACAGUAAGGAAUUAUUCAAGAUUUUUGAGGAGGAGGAUUAUCCUCUACAAAGAAGUAGACAAAUGAAUGGGUAAUUCACAAGUCCCUUAUUUUUGGCUUUGAAAUUCAGACCCACACAUGCACAGCCUCUCUGUAUCAACUCUGUGCUCAAUCUUUCUGUUGUCAGCAUAGGACCAAAUGAGCAGCAGAGUUGAGAUCAUGGAUCAUUCACUAAAUAGAUAAUCCUUGGUAAUUAAGUUGGUCUCAUGUGUAUUUGUCUGUGGACAUGGACCAUUCUCUUUACCACCAGCAAUGAUUUUCUUUUUUUUCCUUCAUAUUGUUUGUGUUUUGUGGGCCCUUUCGCUGUAACAUCUGGACUGGAAGAAUCAAUGGCUGCCAUUUUUCUUAAGGGCUUCUAUAAAAUCAAUCUUGCAAAUACUUCCCAAAUAUUAGGCAAGGCCCACAAAACAUUGGCCACAGAUGAACCUCCCAGGAU